GUGUCACGGGAAACCCUUUCUGAACAAGCCUUACUGUUGCGAAUUCCUGUCCCGGUCGUCGGGCAGCCACUGGACACUUGCCCAUCUUUCAGCCUUUAAAUUGAGAGGAACCACCGAAGAACGCAUGCACAGUGUUUCCCAAAAGCCCUGUAUCCUUGGGAGCAACCAAGAUGUAAUCGGUCAGAGAAAUGGUUUCUUCCUGGAUCCAUGUGAGUUAAACUGUUGUGGGACUGGAGACACUCGCGCCUGCAGAGUUGUGGUGACAAGCAAGCCCUCCUCUUUGCUCCCUGUCUGAAGUCUGCAUAUUCCAUGAAUCCUUGAGGGAGCCUGAUUCUUAUAAGGCAGGGGUCACUAAAGGAACCACAACAGUGUCUCCCUUGGAGAAAAGGAAAGGAAAUCACCACCGUUUAAGAACGCCACAGAAUUCAUUCCCUUCAGAUACUGUCCGUGUGUGAGUUACACGUGCCAACUGCCAGGAGAUCCACAGUCAAAAGAACCAGAAGAAAGCAGAUUAGGAUUGGAGCUGAAAUCAUCAUUGUUUGAAUCCAAUCUCCAGUAUUUACUUAUCUCUGUGAUAAAAACAAACCAUGCAACUGCUCGAUUGUACAUUUUUUCAUCAUCUACAUAAUGAGGACAAUUAAUAUCUCCUGAGGUUGUCAGGGAGCUUAAAUGAUGGAUAUCCAAGUACUGCCUGUAAAGUCUUGCCCAACUUGAGGCAUUCCUGAACUGUACUUAGGGCCAGUAACCACAUGGAGGGGGGUGGGGGACUCAUCUUCAAUUAUCAAAAAAACAAAACCAAAAAACUUUA
rnacentral:lncRNA from 1 species